rnacentral:tRNA from 1 species
ACUCUCUUAGUAUAAACAAUAUAACUGACUUCCAAUUAGUAGACUCUGAAAAAAAAUCAGAAGAGAGUA